AGAGUUUGAUCCUAGCUCAGGAUGAAUGCUGGCGGCGUGUCUAAGGCAUGCAAGUCGAGCGGAUACUACUGCGAUUACAUCAAGAUAGUAUUAGCGGCAAACGGGAGCGUAACACAUUGGCAAUCUACCUCGCACUCGUGAAUAACUAGCCGAAAGGCUAGCUAAUACACGAUAUUGUCCACAAAUCGAAAAGUAGUGGAUGAAAGUUACGGCGGUGCGAGAGGAGCCUAUGGCCCAUCAGCUAGUUGGCGGUGUAAUGGACCACCAAGGCUAUGACGGGUACCAGGCGUGAGAGCGUGGCCUGGCUCACUGGGACUGAGACACUGCCCAGACACCUACGGGUGGCUGCAGUCGAGAAUAUUCCGCAAUGCACGAAAGUGUGACGGAGCGACGCCGCGUGUCGAAAGAAGGCCUUCGGGUCGUAAACGACUUUUAUCAGGGACGAAUUUUGACGGUACCUGAAGAAUAAGGGGUUGCUAACUCUGUGCCAGCAGCAGCGGUAAUACAGAGACCCCGAGCAUUAUCCGGAUUUAUUGGGCGUAAAGAGUCUGUAGGUGGUUUCGUAAGUCAUUUGUUAAAUCUUCAGGCUCAACCUGGAGGCUGCAGGUGAUACUGCGAGGCUUGAGUAUGGGAGAGGCAAGCGGAAUGCCCGGUGUAGCGGUAAAAUGCGUUAAUAUCGGGUAGAACACCAAAGGCGAAAGCAGCUUGCUGGAACAUUACUGACACUGAGAGACGAAAGCGUGGGUAGCGAAAGGGAUUAGAUACCCCUGUAGUCCACGCCGUAAACGAUGGCCACUAGAUUUUGGGAGUAUCGACCCUCCCAGAGUCGUCGAAACAAGCUAACGCGUUAAGUGGCCCGCCUGGGAAGUACGAUCGCAAGAUUAAAACUCAAAGGAAUAGACGGGGACCCGCACAAGCGGUGGAUCAUGCGGUUUAAUUCGAUGCAACGCGAGAAACCUCACCUGGGCUUGAAAUAUAGCUGCUAUUCUCCAGAAACGGAGACUCCUUCGAGGGUGCUAUGUAGGUGCUGCAUGGUUGUCGUCAGCUCGUGCCGUGAGGUGUACCCUUAAGUGGACUAACGAGCGCAACCCCUGUCAUGCGUUAUACUUUCGCAUGAGACUGCUUCCGUAAGGGAGAGGAAGGAAGGGAUGACGUCAAAUCAGCAUGGCCCUUACGUCCAGGGCAACACGCAUGAUACAAUGGCCGGUACAAAGGGUUGCCAAAUCGCAAGAUGGAGCUAAUCCCAUAAAACCGGUCUCAGUUCGGAUUGAAGUCUGCAACUCGACUUCAUGAAGCCGGAAUCGCUAGUAAAGGUGGAUCAUCACGCCACCUUGAAUACGUUCUCGGGUCUUGUACUCACCGCCCGUCACGUCAAGAGAGUUGGAAGCACCCGAAUGUCGCUGAUUGGCGGCAGAAGGUGAGUUCAGCAAUAGGGACGAAGUCGUAACAAGGCAUCCGAAGCGGAAGCUGUGGAUG
rnacentral:rRNA from 1 species